rnacentral:rRNA from 1 species
GGAGUUUGGGCCGUGUCUCAGUCCCAAUGUGGCCGUUCACCCGUUAAGGCCGGCUACUGAUCGUCGCCUUGGUGGGCCGUUACCUCACCAACUAGCUAAUCAGACGCGGGUCCAUCCUUAUCCACCGGAGUUUUUCACACUGUAUCAUGCGAUACCGUGCGCUUAUGCGGUAUUAGCAGUCGUUUCCGACUGUUAUCCCCCUGAUAAGGGUAGGUUACCCACGCGUUACUCACCCGUCCGCCACUAAGUUGCUUCGGUGAAUUCCCCUUCGAGCAAGCUCUCCAGUUCAUUCGGUGAAACAACUCCGUUCGACUUGCAUGUGUUAAGCACGCCGCCAGCGUUCAUC